CACUACAUCGGCACCAGUUCUCAAUCACACAGCUUUGCAAGCACACAGCAUUCUCCCAGACAACAUGAAGACCUGUUUCAUCGUCCUUGUUUUGGCUUUGGCCAUGAUCAGCUGUGCAUCGGCUCAGGUCGGUGGAAUGCAGGGUUUAAUGAUGAUGUCCAUGUUCGAUUCACCUGAAAUAAGGACUUUGAUGAUGUGCCAGAUGUGUAUGAGGUCAAGCGGAAACAUAAUGACCUGCAGCAUGAUGGGAAUGUGUGGAAACUAGUCACGUGACACAGUUACCAGGACAUUUUGUCUUCCUUGUCAUUAACACUAGAAAUCAGAAUCCUGCAUCCGUCACAAUCUAUAGAACCAUAACGAGGUUUUUAGAAGUACUACUAGCAAAGAACAUUUUUCCAAUUCAACCAAGGAUGUGCCUAAAGCUAUCUAAUCCCAAUGACGCUAUCCAAACUGUGAUGAAGAGUUCGUCAUUUCCGGUACGAGCAGAUUAGCAGAGCACAAUGGCGGGCGUCAUUUGGAUUAGAAUGAGAAAUCACCACAUACUGUCAUUGUUAUUUAUUAAACAUCUCACAUUUUAAA